rnacentral:rRNA from 1 species
GUAGAUAGAGGCCGACCAGGGUUUUAACGGGUAACGGGGAAUUAGGGUUCGAUUCCGGAGAGGGAGCCUGAGAAACGGCUACCACAUCCAAGGAAGGCAGCAGGCGCGCAAAUUACCCAAUCCCGACACGGGGAGGUAGUGACAAUAAAUAACAAUACAGGGCUCUUACGGGUCUUGUAAUUGGAAUGAGUACAAUUUAAAUCCCUUAACGAGGAACAAUUGGAGGGCAAGUCUGGUGCCAGCAGCCGCGGUAAUUCCAGCUCCAAUAGCGUAUAUUAAAGUUGUUGCAGUUAAAAAGCUCGUAGUUGAAUUUCGGGAUUCUACCGUUGGUCGGGCUAACAAGUCUGUACUGGUGUGUAGAAUUUCUACCUUCUGGGGAACUAUCAUGUUAUUAAUUUAGCGUGGUGGGAAACCAGGACCUUUACCUUGAAAAAAUUAGAGUGUUCAAAGCAGGCUUACGUCUGAAUACAUUAGCAUGGAAUAAUAGAAUAGGACGGUGGUCCUGUUUUGUUGGUUUCUGAAUCACCGUAAUGAUUAAUAGGGAUAGUUGGGGGCAUUAGUAUUCAAUUGUCAGAGGUGAAAUUCUUGGAUUUAUUGAAGACUAACUUCUGCGAAAGCAUUUGCCAAGGAUGUUUUCAUUAAUCAAGAACGAAAGUUAGGGGAUCGAAGACGAUCAGAUACCGUCGUAGUCUUAACCAUAAACUAUGCCGACUAGGGAUCGGACGAUGUUAAAUUUUAUUGACUCGUUCCCCCCCUUACGGGAAACCAAAGUGUUUGGG